rnacentral:rRNA from 1 species
GAGUUUGAUCCUGGCUCAGGAUGAACGCUAGCGGCAGGCUUAACACAUGCAAGUCGAGGGGCAGCACGGUGUAGCAAUACAUUGGUGGCGACCGGCGCACGGGUGCGUAACGCGUAUACAAUUUGCCUUAUACAGGGAGAUAGCCCGGAGAAAUUCGGAUUAAUAUCCCAUAACACUGCGCUAUGGCAUCAUAGUGCAUUUAAAGCUACGGCGGUAUAAGAUGAGUAUGCGUCUGAUUAGCUAGUUGGUGAGGUAACGGCUCACCAAGGCGACGAUCAGUAGGGGGCCUGAGAGGGUUAUCCCCCACACUGGAACUGAGACACGGUCCAGACUCCUACGGGAGGCAGCAGUGAGGAAUAUUGGUCAAUGGAGGCAACUCUGAACCAGCCAUGCCGCGUGUAGGAAGAAUGCCCUAUGGGUUGUAAACUACUUUUAUUUGGGAAGAACCCCCUUACGAGUAAGGGGCUGACGGUACCAAAGGAUAAGGACCGGCUAACUCCGUGCCAGCCGCCGCCGUAAC